UACGAAGGGGGGCUAGCGUUGCUCGGAAUCACUGGGCGUAAAGCGCACGUAGGCGGAUUUGUCAGUCAGGGGUGAAAUCCCGGGGCUCAACCUCGGAACUGCCUUUGAUACAGCAAGUCUUGAGUUCGAGAGAGGUGGGUGGAAUUCCUAGUGUAGAGGUGAAAUUCGUAGAUAUUAGGAAGAACACCGAUGGCGAAGGCAGCCAUCUGGACCGACACUGACGCUGAGGCGCGAAAGCGUGGGGAGCAAACAGGG
rnacentral:rRNA from 1 species